rnacentral:rRNA from 1 species
UUUGAACGCUGGCGGCAGGCCUAACACAUGCAAGUCGAACGGUAACAGGAAGAAGCUUGCUUCUUUGCUGACGAGUGGCGGACGGGUGAGUAAUGUCUGGGAAACUGCCUGAUGGAGGGGGAUAACUACUGGAAACGGUAGCUAAUACCGCAUAACGUCGCAAGACCAAAGAGGGGGACCUUCGGGCCUCUUGCCAUCGGAUGUGCCCAGAUGGGAUUAGCUAGUAGGUGGGGUAACGGCUCACCUAGGCGACGAUCCCUAGCUGGUCUGAGAGGAUGACCAGCCACACUGGAACUGAGACACGGUCCAGACUCCUACGGGAGGCAGCAGUGGGGAAUAUUGCACAAUGGGCGCAAGCCUGAUGCAGCCAUGCCGCGUGUAUGAAGAAGGCCUUCGGGUUGUAAAGUACUUUCAGCGGGGAGGAAGGGAGUAAAGUUAAUACCUUGGCUCAUUGACGUUACCCGCAGAAGAAGCACCGGCUAACUCCGUG